GACCGUAUUAUAGGAAUAAGCAUCGGCUAACUCCGUGCCAGCAGCCGCGGUAACACGUAGGAGGCAAACGUUAUCCGGAUUCACUGGGCGUAAAGCGCGUGUAGGUGGUUCUGUAAGUAGGGCGUGAAAGCUCCCGGCUCAACUGGGAGAGGCCGUACUAAACUGCAGAGCUAGAGGAUGGUAGAGGGAGGUGGAAUUCCAGGUGUAGUGGUGAAAUGCGCAGAUAUCUGGAGGAACACCAGUGGCGAAGGCGGCCUCCUGGACCAUUCCUGACACUCAGACGCGAAAGCUAGGGUAGCAAACGGAAUUAGAGACUCCGGUAGUCCUAGCCCUAAACGAUGCAGACUAGGCGUCGGCGGUUUAAUCACCGUCGGUGUCCAAGCUAACGCGAUAAGUCUGCCGCCUGAGGACUACGGCCGCAAGGCUAAAACUCAAAGGAAUUGACGGGUCCCCGCACAAGCAGCGGAGCGUGUGGUUUAAUUCGAUGCUCCGCGAAGAACCUUACCUGGGUUUGACAUAACAGUGGUAGAGAAGUGAAAACGGAUCGACCCUUCGGGGAGCUGUUACAGGUGUUGCAUGGCUGUCGUCAGCUCGUGUCGUGAGAUGUUCAGUUAAGUCCGCUAACGAGCGCAACCCGCGCUGUGUGUUACAAGUGUCACACAGUACCGCCGGUAUUAAGUCGGAGGAAGGUGCGGAUGACGUCAAGUCAGCAUGACCUUUAUAUCCAGGGCUACACACACGCUACAAUGGUCAGAACAAUAGGUUGCCAAGCCGCAAGGCGGAGCCAAUCCUCCAAAUCUGGCCUCAGUUCAGAUUGCAGGCUGCAACUCGCCUGCAUGAAGUCGGAGUUGCUAGUAACCGCAGGUCAGCAUACUGCGGUGAAUACGUUCCCGGGGAUUGUACACACCGCCCGUCAAG
rnacentral:rRNA from 1 species